ACCUUNGGGGAACGAUAACGGCGUCNAGNGNCGGACGGGUGAGUAAUGCCUGGGAAAUUGCCCUGAUGUGGGGGAUAACCAUUGGAAACGAUGGCUAAUACCGCAUAAUAGCUUCGGCUCAAAGAGGGGGACCUUCGGGCCUCUCGCGUCAGGAUAUGCCCAGGUGGGAUUAGCUAGUUGGUGAGGUAAUGGCUCACCAAGGCGACGAUCCCUAGCUGGUCUGAGAGGAUGAUCAGCCACACUGGAACUGAGACACGGUCCAGACUCCUACGGGAGGCAGCAGUGGGGAAUAUUGCACAAUGGGCGCAAGCCUGAUGCAGCCAUGCCGCGUGUAUGAAGAAGGCCUUCGGGUUGUAAAGUACUUUCAGCAGUGAGGAAGGCGGGUACGUUAAUAGCGUGCUCGUUUGACGUUAGCUGCAGAAGAAGCACCGGCUAACUCCGUGCCAGCAGCCGCGGUAAUACGGAGGGUGCGAGCGUUAAUCGGAAUUACUGGGCGUAAAGCGCAUGCAGGUGGUUUGUUAAGUCAGAUGUGAAAGCCCGGGGCUCAACCUCGGAAUAGCAUUUGAAACUGGCAGACUAGAGNANUGUAGAGGGGGGUAGAANUUCAGGUGUAGCGGUGAAAUGCGUAGAGAUCUGAAGGAAUACCGGUGGCGA
rnacentral:rRNA from 1 species